rnacentral:rRNA from 1 species
CCUACGGGUGGCAGCAGUGAGGAAUAUUGGUCAAUGGGCGCGAGCCUGAACCAGCCAAGUCGCGUGCGGGAAGACGGUCCUAUGGAUUGUAAACCUCUUUUGUCGGGGAGCAAAAGACGCCACGCGUGGCGUUCCGAGAGUACCCGAAGAAAAAGCAUCGGCUAACUCCGUGCCAGCCGCCGCGGUAAUACGGGGGAGGCGAGCGUUAUCCGGAUUUAUUGGGUUUAAAGGGUGCGCGGGCGGAAGAUAAAGUCAGCGGUAAAAUUGAGUGGCUCAACCUGUUCGCGCCGGUGAAACUGGUUGUCUCGAGUUGGUGAGAAGGAUGCGGAAUGCGCGGUGUAGCGGUGAAAUGCGUAGAUAUCGCGCAGAACUCCGAUUGCGAAGGCAGCAUGCCGGCUCCACACUGACGCUGAGGCACGAAAGCGUGGGUAUCGAACAGGAUUAGAUACCCCUGUAGUC